rnacentral:SRP_RNA from 1 species
UCCAGCCAAGUAUGGCGCCUUUAAUCUCUUCUACUAGGGAAGCUGGACGGAUCUCUUGAGCUCAGGAGUUCUGAGCUGCAGUGGCCUGGACUGAUCAGCUGUCUAAACAAAGUUUGGCACUAAUAUGGUGAGCCACUGGGAGUAGAGGUUUGCUAAGCUGCCUGAGGAGGAGGGAACAGGCCCAGGUCAGAACUGGAGCGGGUCAAAGCUUGUGUGCCAAUCAGUAACAGGAUCCAUCUGUGAGUGACCGCCGCAUUUCCAGCCUGGGUGAGAUAGGGAGGCCCAGUUU